GAGAGAGAGGGAGGUAACAGCCGCUCCGGCCACGAGGAGUCCGGUUCCGGCCGAGCCUUCAUGAAAUCUUCACAGAACUUAGAGAAGAACAUUCUUAACUUUUAGAUCGUCCAAAACCAUCCAGAAACGAGGAAAAAUCUAAAGGUAAAGUUCUUGAAUCCAGAUUCUCGAAAUUGCUUUAGAUCUGUGAGAUAUAGUAAGAGUUAGAGCCUGAAAUUUGAGUAUGUUAAUCUACAGAGGAUUACGCUCAAAACCUGUGAAGGAGGUUGUAUUCCUCAAAGAGGAGAAAGGAGGAGGAGGAUGAGCUUCGCCGGAGAAGAAGGGCCACGUGUCAAGCGUCCAUUGGAGACGAAAAAAUCAAAGAAAUACUUCGCGUCGGGUGGGAUUCGAUGGCCGGCGGCCCGCUACUCGAGUUCGCGACCCGAUGACCCGCGCGCAACCCGGACCACCGACCCGGCUUCUCGUUGCCACGCGUCAGCGUAAACAAACUCGAAUUUCCAGCGCGCCCUUCCGGUUUCGAACCAACGACCUCGACCUUGGCUGACCGUUUAUCGGGCGCCACGUGGCAACACCUCAGCGCGCGUCUCCCCUCCCUCAUGCGCGUCCGUACGCGCGCGUGGCCGUGCGCGUGUAGCACCUUCCCCAGGCGCGUGUGAGCGCGUGAGGGUUUAAAUGAGAAAAUUCAGCAUUUGUGGACACUCUAUUGGUGUAGAAAUGCUCAACGAAGAACACGCGUCAAUCGGGUAAGUCACCACCCGGUAUUUAGGAAGAAAUACUUGUAGGGUUCGCUUGGAUUGUAUGUAUGCAUGUUAGUAAUUUUGCCUUAAAUUAGCUCUCCAUGAAUGAGAUUAAUUAGAUGGAUUGUUAUGAUGUGUUGGGUGAAUUUUCUGAGUGUUGCUUGUAUGCCUUAAGCUUCCGUUGUACGUAUGCAUGCGUUUAAUUUAUGUUAGAGUUGUGUAUGCCGGGUUUCGGGUGCUUGAUGGACGAAUUCGUCCCAUUGAGCGCGAACUUCGUGCUCUGGGUGCUUGAUGGAGGUCAUCGCCCCGUUGAGCCGGUAUGCCUAGUUUGCAUGAAUUACAUACUAUGAUGUUAGAAGAAGAUUGCAUGCACCCUCUGUUCAUUGCUAGGGCCCAUUUCUAUGAUAAGAUUAGGGAAUUUCUGUUAGGAGCGAUAUGUCGCUCUGGACAGACUUAAUUUUACCCUAGAAACUUAGCGGUUUACCACGG